AUCCAGCUGACGAGUCCCAAAAUAGUACAAAACGCGCGUCCUGGAU
rnacentral:hammerhead_ribozyme from 1 species